rnacentral:sRNA from 1 species
UUGUGAUCCGGGAGUAUCACAAGUGGAGAACCUACUUCAAGAAAAGGCUACAGCAGCACAAGGAUGAGGACCUCUCCAGCCUGGUCCAGGUGGGUGAGCCUGGGAGCUCUGAGGACCCCCACUUUGACAUGAGACAGCAGGGACUUCGGUGGCCCACCAGGGAGCCCUGCAAAAGGUGGCAGGCCAUGGGCCCUCCCUGGAGUCUCAGGAAUGGCUCAAGAAGCAGUCCAGCUCUCUCUCCUGGGUGGGCUGGAGGGAGCCGCUCUCCAAAUGCCUCCACCCUGCUGCCUCACUUCCACGGAGCAGCCCUUUGACGAAUUUCCCCAGGUGACAGGCGUGGGAAUUCUUCGUCCCACUGUUACUCUUUGAUGCUUCCUCCCCUGUGUUGGUGUCGUGUUAGGACGAUGACAUGCUGUAUUGGCACAAGCACGGGGAUGGAUGGAAGACCCCCGUCCCCAUGGAGGA